UUUCUUUCUCUUCACUUUUGAGACUAGUGUACAUAUUUGUAUAUAUAUAUAUAUAUAUACAUAUAUAUAUAUAUAUGUUUCAUUCUUGGGAGUCUGUACCAGCAACAGCUUCCCAUAUGUUAGACGCAUCUCAGGAUUUAUUAGUCAGCCGAGGUCAAUUGAGAUUUGCUGUAUUUGCUUUCACAAAAGCUGUGUGUACUAUAUACUUCUUGAACUGGAAAUCACACAAUGCUCCUUAUUUGCCUUCAAUCACUAGCAGAUGCAGAACGGUCAGAUCAUUUCCCUUUAAAUUGACCUAAGGGAUUAAAGGAAUUGAAAGGAAUUUCCAGCUAACUAGUGCCUCUGCUUUCCCGGACUUUAAUUCUUGAGCCUUCAGGGUCAGAGUCUCUGGUAACUUAAUCUGUCUCUCCCUCCCCCUAAUUUGUUCACUUCCUUCCUUUUGUUUGCCUCCUGAGCAGUAACCAAGUACCCAGGCUCAACUCCUGCAUUUGCUGGCUUCCAAACUCUUAAACUAAACACUUGUGUAAAUCUGGCAGGAGGUGGGUGCUCUGUUGAGAGCAUAGGAAUCUGAAAUACUCCUUUGUGGCAGUUUUCAACCUUUAAUUCACAGGUAUCAAUUGCAACAAAGACAGAGUGUCAGGAACAAGAGCAGUUUUCUCAGUGUUUAGGAAAGCAGUCCUGAAGAAAAGAAGUCAAGAAGGGCUGGCUCACAGCAGAAGACGUAAAAUACAACAGGUAAGAUGUGACAGGACAACAAUCUGCUUCCAAUCAAAAGCAGUUAAUGGCAGUUCUGCAUCUUAUAUUGUUUUUUGUCUCAGAAACCUGUCAGGAGUCCUUUUAUGGAUUGUCUCAACUAUCAGGGAAAGCGGCUUACUUAGCAGGUGGCAGUUUAAAAAGUGGCUGAUACUUUCAAAACUACCUCUACAUCUUUUGUUCUCUGCCUGCUUCCAUGACUAUAUGUUUCUAGUUUUGACAUCUGCUCUUCAUCCAAUUACUCAUUUUGAUCAUAUACUUGUGGGACAUGAAAGGUGCUUUCUUUCAAAGAAAGCAUGUCAUUACUUUCUUUGAUGACUACUAUCGUCUCUGUAAAUCAGCUUCUAUUAAAAAAAUAACAUCAAAAUCAACAACCAAUCAGAAUGGUGGCCAAAAACUCUAGAAGCACUGUCUCAACCAUUUAUUUUUUGUUGAAUUUCAUAGCAUAAAGUGUAUGGAUUAUAAAAAUUAGGCAUUUAAAAAUCUCAAAAUUUAUCAUUAGCAUAUGAAAGUUAGAAAUUUUUACUUGAUUGAAAUAAAAUCUUCAAAAUAUGAACCA
rnacentral:lncRNA from 1 species